rnacentral:rRNA from 1 species
UGGGGAAUUUUGGACAAUGGGCGAAAGCCUGAUCCAGCAAUGCCGCGUGUGUGAAGAAGGCCUUCGGGUUGUAAAGCACUUUUGUCCGGAAAGAAAUCCUUGGCUCUAAUACAGUCGGGGGAUGACGGUACCGGAAGAAUAAGCACCGGCUAACUACGUGCCAGCAGCCGCGGUAAUACGUAGGGUGCAAGCGUUAAUCGGAAUUACUGGGCGUAAAGCGUGCGCAGGCGGUUUGCUAAGACCGAUGUGAAAUCCCCGGGCUCAACCUGGGAACUGCAUUGGUGACUGGCAGGCUAGAGUAUGGCAGAGGGGGGUAGAAUUCCACGUGUAGCAGUGAAAUGCGUAGAGAUGUGGAGGAAUACCGAUGGCGAAGGCAGCCCCCCUGGGCCAAUACUGACGCUCAUGCACGAAAGCGUGGGGAGCAAACAGGAUUCAGAUACCCUGGUAGUCCCAGCGCCCUAAACGAUGCUACAACUAGUUGUUGGGGAUUGCAUUUCCUUAGUAACGUAGCUAACGCGUGAAGUUGACCGCCUGGGGAGUACGGUCGCAAGAUUAAAACUUAAAGGAAUUGACGGGGUCAUAGCUGUUUCCU